CCGUCAAUUCCUUUAAGUUUUAACCUUGCGGCCGUACUCCCCAGGCGGUCGACUUAACGCGUUAGCUCCGGAAGCCACUCCUCAAGGGAACAACCUCCAAGUCGACAUCGUUUACGGCGUGGACUACCAGGGUAUCUAAUCCUGUUUGCUCCCCACGCUUUCGCACCUGAGCGUCAGUCUUCGUCCAGGGGGCCGCCUUCGCCACCGGUAUUCCUCCAGAUCUCUACGCAUUUCACCGCUACACCUGGAAUUCUACCCCCCUCUACGAGACUCAAGCCUGCCAGUUUCAAAUGCAGUUCCCAGGUUAAGCCCGGGGAUUUCACAUCUGACUUAACAGACCGCCUGCGUGCGCUUUACGCCCAGUAAUUCCGAUUAACGCUUGCACCCUCCGUAUUACCGC
rnacentral:misc_RNA from 1 species